CAGUGUUGUGCUCUCUUCCUGCUGCCUGAGGAUCUGGAUGAGAACUCUCAGCCACCUCUCCAGCACCGUGCCUGCCUGCUUGCCACCAUGCUUCUCACCAUGAUGACAAUGGACUAAAACUCUGAACUGGAGAUGCCAUGGCUGACGGAGUCCUCAUUGGGAAGCAGAGUCUUUGCUGGCUGCUUGGUUCACUUGGGUGGCUACUGCUGUUGCCUUAUUUACAGAGUGGAGAUGGAGAUGAAAUCCAAGGUCUUUCAAGAUAUGCAAAUGAAGCAUCCUUUUUAAAUUCAAAUUGUGGCAUAGCAUUAAAAAACUUAUUUUGAUUAAAAAUUAUACUUGUGAAUCUUCCCAUUCACUUACUCUUU
rnacentral:lncRNA from 1 species